AAGAGCCUUGAGUACUAGAAGAAAAGGCACCUAGACCUAACAAAAUUAAGUGAAUACCCAAAAUUGUAGUCAUUUUAUUUCUAUCUUUCCA
rnacentral:antisense_RNA from 1 species